UUGUUCGAUGGCCUUGGAUGGGUUUGAAUUCAGUCCACGUUUUUUAUUUUUAUUCGUGACUAGAUCCACACUCAUCCAAGGAAAUCGAGC
rnacentral:pre_miRNA from 11 species